AUGGAAUGGAGCUUGAUCGUCCUCUUCCUCCUGUCAAUAACUACAGGUGUGCACUCCCAGGUCCAGCUGCUGCAGUCUGGGGAUGAGCUGAGGAGACCUAGGUCCUCAGUGAAGUUGUCCUGCAAGGCUUCUGGCUACACCUUCACAGACUACUAUAUGCACUGGGUGAAGCAGAAGCCAGGACAGGGCCUGGAGUGGAUUGGAGAGAUUGAUCCUGAAGAUGGUAGGACUAUCUACAAUGAGAAGUUCCAGGGCAAGGCCACACUGACUGCAGACACAUCAUUCAACACAGCCUACAUGGAGCUCAGCAGCCUGACAUCUGAGGACUCUGCAGUCUAUUACUGUGCAAGACACAGUGUUGCAACCACAUCCUGA